CUUCGGGGGUACUCGAGCGGCGAACGGGUGAGUAACACGUGAGUAAUCUGCCCUGCGCUCUGGGAUAGCCACCGGAAACGGUGAUUAAUACCGGAUAUGACCACUCUAGGCAUCUAGUGGUGGUGGAAAGUUUUUCGGCGCAGGAUGUGCUCGCGGCCUAUCAGCUUGUUGGUGAGGUAAUGGCUCACCAAGGCUUUGACGGGUAGCCGGCCUGAGAGGGUGACCGGUCACACUGGGACUGAGACACGGCCCAGACUCCUACGGGAGGCAGCAGUGGGGAAUAUUGGACAAUGGGCGGAAGCCUGAUCCAGCAACGCCGCGUGAGGGAUGACGGCCUUCGGGUUGUAAACCUCUUUCAGUACCGACGAAGCGAAAGUGACGGUAGGUACAGAAGAAGGACCGGCCAACUACGUGCCAGCAGCCGCGGUAAUACGUAGGGUCCGAGCGUUGUCCGGAAUUAUUGGGCGUAAAGGGCUCGUAGGCGGUUUGUCGCGUCGGGAGUGAAAACAGCCAGCUUAACUGGUUGCUUGCUUUCGAUACGGGCAGACUAGAGGUAUGCAGGGGAGAAUGGAAUUCCUGGUGUAGCGGUGAAAUGCGCAGAUAUCAGGAGGAACACCGGUGGCGAAGGCGGUUCUCUGGGCAUUACCUGACGCUGAGGAGCGAAAGUGUGGGGAGCGAACAGGAUUAGAUACCCUGGUAGUCCACACCGUAAACGUUGGGCGCUAGGUGUGGGAUCCUUUCCACGGGUUCCGUGCCGUAGCUAACGCAUU
rnacentral:rRNA from 1 species